CGAACGGACGAGAAGCUUGCUUCUCUGAUGUUAGCGGCGGACGGGUGAGUAACACGUGGAUAACCUACCUAUAAGAGUGGGAUAACUUCGGGAAACCGGAGCUAAUACCGGAUGAUAUUUUGAACCGCAUGGUUCAAAAGUGAAAGACGGUCUUGCUGUCACUUAUAGAUGGAUCCGCGCUGCAUUAGCUAGUUGGUAAGGUAACGGCUUACCAAGGCAAGCGAUGCAUAGCCGACCUGAGAGGGUGAUCGGCCACACUGGAACUGAGACACGGUCCAGACUCCUACGGGAGGCAGCAUUAGGGAAUCUUCCGCAAUGGGCGAAAGCCCGACGGAGCAACGCCGCGUGAGUGAUGAAGGUCUUCGGAUCGUAAAACUCUGUUAUUAGGGAAGAACAUAUGUGUAAGUAACUGUGCACAUCUUGACGGUACCUAAUCAGAAAGCCACGGCUAACUACGUGCCAGCAGCCGCGGUAAUACGUAGGUGGCAAGCGUUAUCCGGAAUUAUUGGGCGUAAAGCGCGCGUAGGCGGUUUUUUAAGUCUGAUGUGAAAGCCCACGGCUCAACCGUGGAGGGUCAUUGGAAACUGGAAAACUUGAGUGCAGAAGAGGAAAGUGGAAUUCCAUGUGUAGCGGUGAAAUGCGCAGAGAUAUGGAGGAACACCAGUGGCGAAGGCGACUUUCUGGUCUGUAACUGACGCUGAUGUGCGAAAG
rnacentral:rRNA from 1 species